rnacentral:rRNA from 1 species
UACGAAGGGGGCUAGCGUUGCUCGGAAUCACUGGGCGUAAAGCGCACGUAGGCGGCUUCUUAAGUCAGGGGUGAAAUCCUGGAGCUCAACUCCAGAACUGCCUCUGAUACUGAGGAGCUAGAGUCCGGAAGAGGUGAGUGGAACUGCGAGUGUAGAGGUGAAAUUCGUAGAUAUUCGCAAGAACACCAGUGGCGAAGGCGGCUCACUGGUCCGGUACUGACGCUGAGGUGCGAAAGCGUGGGGAGCAAACAGG